rnacentral:rRNA from 1 species
AGAGUUUGAUCCUGGCUCAGAUUGAACGCUAGCGGGAUGCCUUACACAUGCAAGUCGAACGGCAGCGCGGACUUCGGUCUGGCGGCGAGUGGCGAACGGGUGAGUAAUGUAUCGGAACGUGCCUAGUAGCGGGGGAUAACUACUCGAAAGAGUAGCUAAUACCGCAUACGCCCUACGGGGGAAAGGGGGGGAUCGCAAGACCUCUCACUAUUAGAGCGGCCGAUAUCGGAUUAGCUAGUUGGUGAGGUAAAGGCUCACCAAGGCGACGAUCCGUAGCUGGUUUGAGAGGACGACCAGCCACACUGGGACUGAGACACGGCCCAGACUCCUACGGGAGGCAGCAGUGGGGAAUUUUGGACAAUGGGGGAAACCCUGAUCCAGCAAUGCCGCGUGAGUGAAGAAGGCCUUCGGGUUGUAAAGCUCUUUUGUCAGGGAAGAAACACCGGCUCUAACACAGUCCGGGAAUGACGGUACCUGAAGAAUAAGCACCGGCUAACUACGUGCCAGCAGCCGCGGUAAUACGUAGGGUGCAAGCGUUAGUCGGAAUUACUGGGCGUAAAGCGUGCGCAGGCGGUUAUACAAGACAGGCGUGAAAUCCCCGGGCUUAACCUGGGAUGGCGCCUGUGACUGUAUAGCUAGAGUGUGUCAGAGGGGGGUAGAAUUCCACGUGUAGCAG